GAUUCGCUAUCUCUAUUGACGCCGCACUGUAACAUACACAUUUUUCUAACGGGUAGAUUCGGUUGAAUCGCACAUACACACUGCAGGCACAGGCAAUUAUUGGAUUAUCGCGUAUAUCAAGAAGAUAUGAUACACGAAAAUGUCCACAUCAAACUCAUCAGUAGAUCAUACAGGCCUAUAUCUUAUACAAAUAGUGAACAAUACAGUAUACUGGAUUAUAUACACGACAAAUAUAAAAAAUCAUCCCGAGUGCACCGAACCCGUUGAUUAAUUCACAAAACUGCAUGCUAAUAGUUUACACGAAAAUGCAAGACAUAUCGAAUCCUUUUGAUGACAGUGAUGCUGUCCACAAACUCGGUCCUCUUGCCGAGAGGUCCUCUAAAUAUAACCAAUGGUUGCUAGGGGUACUUCAGAGGAAGAACUGUCGGAGGAUUCUGGAUGCCGCGUGCGGAACAGGGGUGGACUCCUUAUUCCUGCUCAAACAUGGGAUGGAGGUCGUCAGUUGUGAUGAUGCUGAAGCGAUGCUGUUUUAU
rnacentral:misc_RNA from 1 species